rnacentral:rRNA from 1 species
UGCCACAGCCAUAUCUCCCUGCAGCCCAAGACCGGUUACUCACUGAAGCUAAGCAGGGCUGAGCCUGGUCAGUACCUGGAUGGGAGACCACUUGGGAAAAUCUAGGUUGCUGUUGGAA